rfam:Trachipleistophora hominis chromosome Tnknown scaffold00043, whole genome shotgun sequence.
GGUCCUAUGGUGUAGUGGUUAUCACCUGAGUUUCUGGUACUCAAGACCCGAGUUCGAUUCUCGGUGGGACCU